AUUCCUAUGAAAAAGCCAGAAUAAAGCUGUUGAAGUUUUGUAAAGGCAACAGUUUGGAGUCUACAGAUGAGGACAGUGUACGGAAAAGAGUACCAUCAUCAAAAUAUGUAAAUGGAUUUACAUCUAAUACAGCCUCAGGAAGACCUCCAGUGCAGGCCUCAACAAGCUGGCUCCACACAGAGACAAUGGAAAGACCAAAAAAAAAAAAAACUUCUGCAGUAAUGGAGCCAAAAGACUGAAAUUGCCAGCCAUACCACCAUUUGCACCAUCAGCAUCUGCUGUGACAGUCCCUGAACCAAGACAAGAUGGUACGUAGAAUUAUUCCAAACCUUUUACAAUAGGAGUUUUUAGUGUGACGGAUGUUAAUAAGGGUGUGCACUCACAAUGUAUAUUAAUGUAUUUCACUAAUGAUCCCUCCUUUCAAUUUUCAUGUAUUUAUUUUGUAUUUGCCGUUCACGAAAAUGUGAUAAUUUAGGUUUGUCCUUUAUUUGAGUCAUUUUUGGGAAAAGAGUUUUAUAUUGAUUUUACGUUGUGAUGUCAUAUCUGUUCAGCCCGCGCUGCGUCCUCAGACCGCGCUGAGCUCGCUGAGGAGAGGUAAGCAGUUAGCGGUGCUCCGCCAAUAUAAAGUUGUAAAAGUUACCAGAAUUGUUAAUAAGUACUUAAUAUGCUAAAAUAUUAUUGUUAAGAGUGUUACAAACGUACUGAAAAUUGUUUUAUGUGUGGAUGGAUGACAUCUAAUGGUUUAUCAUUGAGUACAGCGGUUUGAGUAUGUAUGUGCGUCAGUAGGACACAGUGAUUUUAGUGAAUCAAUUAACUGGUGUUGUAUCUGUCCAGGUGGAAAAAUCACAGAACGAAAACCUUUCUCAUUGUUGUACUCUCUCUGCUCCAUCCAGCACCUGCAUGCUUCAUUUCAAUAAACCCUCCAUCAGCAGCAGUUCCUGUGAUCCGUGUCUUCAUUUAUAACACAACGCAGAUCGAAACCGUGCCAUAGACAGGCCGGUUACAUUAGUAAUUUCCUUUUUAGUCUCUAACAUGGAUUAGAAACUGUUCAAGGAACAAAAUAAAAUGUAUGUAACCAAAAAUGAUAAUAAAACCAACUUC